CCGGCGUGUUGUGCAUCUGUUAGUUGGAGUGUUACAAGAAUUAUGUGUAUUUGUGAGCUGAAUUAAUAUUAGGAAGUUGCAUAAUUUGGGAAACAGAGUUUAUUACAGCUUUGAUGGAGAACGGCGAAGUAAAUUUUCGGAGUCGACCAUCUGAGGAUCGAGCCAUUCCCAUGAAUGUUGAUGCAGAGCGUACAAAGCUUUCUACACAAGAUGUUGAGCAUCUUCUCAUGAAGAGUUUGUCUGUUCAUCUUAAUGAGGGCAUAAUCGAUCAAGUUGAGUGGACAGUAUAUAUUUCAUGGGUGCAGCCAAGAGCUUUGGGGAUUCCACAGGUCAAAUUACUGCGUGACCGACUGGACAAUCGGGUGGACAAAGUACACACGGCUUUGUUUUAUGUUGAAGCAUCCGUUUUUGCAACGAUCUUCUGAUUUGAACUGAAAGAAGAGAGAUAGAUGAGACACUUUGUAGCAAGGUACUUGGUCAGGCAGUUGUGCAUCUCAAUUUACUUCCUUAGUGCCUCAUUGUCUUAUGCCUAAUUCUCCUGUGACAUCAGCAAUUCCUUCCUACUUUCUCACGUCUAAGAUGAGUCCUCUUACUACUGUGGCGACUCGGUUUUAUCCUUUGGAUGUGGUCAUUGGAACACGUACUGAUUUCUUUUGCUCAA